AGCGGCGGACGGGUGAGUAAUGUCUGGGAAACUGCCUGAUGGAGGGGGAUAACUACUGGAAACGGUAGCUAAUACCGCAUAACGUCGCAAGACCAAAGUGGGGGACCUUCGGGCCUCAUGCCAUCAGAUGUGCCCAGAUGGGAUUAGCUAGUAGGUGAGGUAAUGGCUCACCUAGGCGACGAUCCCUAGCUGGUCUGAGAGGAUGACCAGCCACACUGGAACUGAGACACGGUCCAGACUCCUACGGGAGGCAGCAGUGGGGAAUAUUGCACAAUGGGCGCAAGCCUGAUGCAGCCAUGCCGCGUGUAUGAAGAAGGCCUUCGGGUUGUAAAGUACUUUCAGCGAGGAGGAAGGCGAUAAGGUUAAUAACCUUGUCGAUUGACGUUACUCGCAGAAGAAGCACCGGCUAACUCCGUGCCAGCAGCCGCGGUAAUACGGAGGGUGCAAGCGUUAAUCGGAAUUACUGGGCGUAAAGCGCACGCAGGCGGUCUGUCAAGUCGGAUGUGAAAUCCCCGGGCUCAACCUGGGAACUGCAUCCGAAACUGGCAGGCUAGAGUCUUGGAGAGGGUAGUGGAAUUCCUAGUGUAGGAGUGAAAUCCGUAGAUAUUAGGAGGAACACCGGUGGCGAAGGCGGCUACCUGGACCGAUAUUGACGCUGAGACGCGAAAGCGUGGGUAGCAAACAGGAUUAGAUACCCUGGUAGUCCACGCCGUAAACGAUGAGUACUAGGUGUUGCGGGUAUUGACCCCUGCAGUGCCGCAGCUAACGCAUUAAGUACUCCGCCUGGGAAGUACGGUCGCAAGGUUAAAACUCAAAUGAAUUGACGGGGGCCCGCACAAGCGGUGGAGCGUGUGGUUUAAUUCGAUGCA
rnacentral:rRNA from 1 species